AGCGAACGCUGGCGGCAGGCUUAACACAUGCAAGUCGAGCGGGCAUCCUCGUGGUGUCAGCGGCAGACGGGUGAGUAACGCGUGGGAACGUGCCCUUCGGUUCGGAAUAACUCAGGGAAACUUGAGCUAAUACCGGAUACGCCCUUUUGGGGAAAGGUUUAUCUGCCGAAGGAUCGGCCCGCGUCUGAUUAGCUGGUUGGUGAGGUUACGGCUCACCAAGGCGACGAUCAGUAGCUGGUCUGAGAGGAUGAUCAGCCACACUGGGACUGAGACACGGCCCAGACUCCUACGGGAGGCAGCAGUGGGGAAUAUUGGACAAUGGGGGCAACCCUGAUCCAGCCAUGCCGCGUGAGUGAUGACGGCCUUAGGGUUGUAAAGCUCUUUUCUCCGGGACGAUAAUGACGGUACCGGAGGAAUAAGCCCCGGCUAACUUCGUGCCAGCCGCCGCGGUAA
rnacentral:rRNA from 1 species